CGCCGCCGCCCUUAGGGCGGUGUUUAGGGUGGAGGGAAAGUAGGUGCCUAUCUCUUUAAGAGGGCCUUGACACACGUGAUUCAUCAAAGUACCCGCAGUCAGCCGACCGGGCGCCGAAAGCUGCUUCCUACUCCCAGUGCCGAGCGGGCCUCAGCUACUGAGCAUGCCCAGCGCAGCGACGGGAGCCAGAGGAUAGCCGAAGACUUUAAGCUGCCGUUAAGCACUGAUUUCACUUCCCAGGGGCCUAGAGUGAAAUGAAAGGGAGCUAGUAAAGAAAAAAGAGGUAUAGCCCAUUUUAGAGACAGGGAACCUGAGGCCCGGAAUGAUUCAAGUGUGAUAAACUACCCAAAAACAGCACGGAAGAAGAAAUACAUCCUUCCAGACAGGGUGGAUAAGGAGCCCUAAGAUCUUUCUCGGAGAUCAGGGGUGAAGUGGUUAUCAGCAGUGUCAUCGGUUUUCCAGGGCCUGAUGAGCCGAAGAGGAAGCCAUAGUGUUUCGGAGGGUCCAUCACUGGAAUCUGAGGGAAUAAGAGCAGACCCUCUGCCUUUCCUUAAUAGGAAGCCAGGGAAUCAUUCAUUAAAAGAUUUGAACCAAAUAGGAAUAGAUGCCUCAAGGGGUUGCUGUGAUUGUGAGAAGUGUUUUUCUACUGCUGUCUGAAUGUCACCUUGGGUAAAUUUGAAAAAUUAAGAGUAAAUAAA